rnacentral:rRNA from 1 species
GACGAACGCUGGCGGCGUGCCUAAUACAUGCAAGUCGAGCGGACUGAUUAAGAGCUUGCUCUUAUGACGUUAGCGGCGGACGGGUGAGUAACACGUGGGCAACCUGCCCUGUAGAUCGGGAUAACACCGAGAAAUCGGUGCUAAUACCGGGUAAUAUCUGAGAUCACAUGAUCUUAGGUUAAAAGAUGGCUCCGGCUAUCACUACAGGAUGGGCCCGCGGCGCAUUAGCUAGUUGGUAAGGUAAUGGCUUACCAAGGCGACGAUGCGUAGCCGACCUGAGAGGGUGAUCGGCCACACUGGGACUGAGACACGGCCCAGACUCCUACGGGAGGCAGCAGUAGGGAAUCUUCCGCAAUGGAGGAAAGUCUGACGGAGCAACGCCGCGUGAGUGAUGAAGGGUUUCGGCUCGUAAAGCUCUGUUGUUAGGGAAGAAACAGUACCGAACGAACUAGGUCGGUACCUUGACGGUACCUAAUCAGAAAGCCACGGCUAACUACGUG